UGACAGGUAUCUCUUCAUCCUUUCUGAUGGCGCCCCAUCACCUGGAUAGAGGACUUGGAUUGGAUACAGAGGAGAAAUAUCUCCCCGCUUUGCCCACUUCCUUAUCUGUAAGGGAGGGAGAGCCACUGAGCACAGCCCAGGCUCCGGCCAUGUCCGUGAGCCAGCCCUGGAGUGCAAAAGCAGAGGGAACCAGAAGAGGACAAAAGAAGUGAUUCUGGAGCCAAAGGGGUCUGUUAAACCCAGGACAGCUGAGGAGCCACGGCCCACAAAUGCAGAAGUGUCAAGGAACUAGGAUGGAUGUUUUUGACCACAGCUCUGGCUGCCACCCAGCCUUCAUUGCUGACCAAGCUUCAGUUCUAUCUCCUGCCUUAAGAUCACAGUGAAUGGAGCCCUGCCGAAUAAUGACUGAAACCCUCCCAUUCCAGCAAGUCAGCUUUGCCAGCCUGCAAGAGCUGAGGGCUCAGGGGACUGGCGGGGAGGAUGGAGUGCUACAGCUGCACCUGAUCAUGGACCCUGUUGAUCCAGAUCUCCUGGCUUGACCUGCCUCAUCACCAUGAACUUGCCUGAUGGUCUGGACUCUUGGUUGAAGCUGGCUACCAUCCCUGCACUGUUUGCCUUGCUCAGGAUAGCUGUGGUGAGCAAGACAACAAGUAAUGAAGGCAAACUGGACCACGAACAGCAUUUCUGGGGGACAAAUGAUUGGCUUUGCACCUGGGAUAAAGUGACUUCAGCACUUCAGCCGUGUGAGAAUCCGAGUCCAGAGCGGCCACUGCAGGCGGCAUCCAGCAGGCUGCAGGAAGGAGUGAAAGCUCCUCUGCUGGUAUUGGUGUCUCCCAUUUGGCAGCCACUCUGCCCAGAGGAAAUGGGAGAUUUGGCAGCUGAGCAGGAGGUGGAGGGACCUUUGGACUGUAGGAAAUGCGUUUGGCCAGGAGCUUUUGCUAAAAACCCACCAGUGACGCAGGUAACCAACUGAGCCUGGCAAUCAAGCCAUCAUCUCCUGGCCCCAGAAUCGACGCUCAUUUGAAGCAGGACUGAUGUCACUACCUGUGGCCUAUACCUUUUUACGUGUGGAUCUUCCCAGAGGUGUGGUUCCGUGAUUUCCUUUUUUUUUUUUUUUUUUUUUUUUUUUUUUUUUGAAUGCAAUGGCCUCACGUUGACUGCAGGAGGAGGAGGCUGAGGUGUCUCAAGCUGUGAUGCAGGCAAACACUGGCUCCGGCGAUAACGCACGGGUGCAUGAACAACGGAGCAAGGCCAGAGCAAGAAAGGACUGAAACUCGGAUAUUAAAUGCUCCACGACGAACUGUCAGGCUUUGAACUGGCUGGAAAUGCAGCCGGAGGAGGCAGGUGGGAGGUACAACAUGUAAGGGUGUAUUUACGGAAGUGCGUGUGACUGGACAAAUGUGCAUAAAUAGCAAAACACAUGGUUAAAUAAUGUAUUUAUAUCCUUUAUUUCCUUAUUUAUUUCUGCAUCACUCCAUCCUGCUCUUUCCUCCUCCCUACUUGCGACUCUGAAUUGCGAGGACGAAAUACAUUUAUUAAACCCAUCCGGUUUAUCGGGGCCGGGCGGGACGUGUGAGCCGCGGCAGAGCUGGCGCUAGCUCAGCGCUGGGGCGAGCAAGUCUGGGCCGAGCAACCUCCCACGCUUAAAAGCACGCGGCCGCGAGUGCCG